rnacentral:rRNA from 1 species
CAGUCGCCGCGGGAAAACGGAGGGUGCAAGCGUUAAUCGGAAUUACUGGGCGUAAAGCGUGCGUAGGCGGCUUCUUAAGUCGGAUGUGAAAUCCCUGAGCUUAACUUAGGAAUUGCAUUCGAUACUGGGAAGCUAGAGUAUGGGAGAGGAUGGUAGAAUUCCAGGUGUAGCGGUGAAAUGCGUAGAGAUCUGGAGGAAUACCGAUGGCGAAGGCAGCCAUCUGGCCUAAUACUGACGCUGAGGUACGAAAGCAUGGGGAGCAAACAGGAUUAGAUACCCGAGUAGUCCCUGUCUCUUAUAC